rnacentral:rRNA from 1 species
GACGAACGCUGGCGGCGUGCUUAACACAUGCAAGUCGUACGCUGAAGCCCUUCGGGGUGGAUGAGUGGCGAACGGGUGAGUAACACGUGGGUAAUCUGCCCUGCACUCUGGGAUAAGCCUUGGAAACGGGGUCUAAUACCGGAUAGGACACAUCGCCGCAUGGUGUGUGUGUGGAAAGUUCCGGCGGUGCAGGUUGAGCCCGCGGCCUAUCAGCUUGUUGGUGGGGUGAUGGCCUACCAAGGCGACGACGGGUAGCCGGCCUGAGAGGGUGACCGGCCACACUGGGACGGAGACACGGCCCAGACUCCUACGGGAGGCAGCAGGGGGGAAUCUUGCGCAAUGGGCGAAAGCCUGACGCAGCAACGCCGCGUGGGGGAUGACGGCCUUCGGGUUGUAAACCUCUUUCGACCGGGACGAAGGAUUCGUUUGACGGUACCGGUAGAAGAAGCACCGGCUAACUACGUGCCAGCCGCCGCAGUAAAAC